rnacentral:tRNA from 1 species
GUGAGUACGGCGACGUGGGAGUGUCGCAAUGGUCUGUAAAACCAUCGCCUUAACGGCUUAGCAGGUUCGAAUCCUGCUACUCACACCA